CCCUAUAUUGUUUCUGAUAUACAUAAAUGACAUCUCUAGUCUGAACAUUAAAGGUAAAAUAUGUCUCUUUGCAGAUGAUACUAGUAUUACUUGGAGUAACACGGAUAUUAUGGAUCUUCGCAAUACCAUAGCUACAGACCUAGUCACCAUUAAAUCGUGUCCUACCUUACAACAGUAUGAUGCAACCUUUAGUACUUAAUAACAACAGUCUAGAGGUAGUUGAAUCGGUGAAGUUCUUAGGGCUUAUUGUGGAUAAGUCUCUAAAAUGGAACUUGCACAUUGAUGCCUUACACAAAAAA
rnacentral:lncRNA from 1 species